UACAGAGGUCCCGAGCGUUGUUCGGAUUCACUGGGCGUAAAGGGUGCGUAGGUGGCUUGAAAAGUUUGAUGUGAAAGCUCAGGGCUUAACCCUGAAAUGGCAUUGAAUACUGUCGAGCUGGAGGUUUGGAGGGGGGGGACUGGAAUUCUUGGUGUAGCAGUGAAAUGCGUAGAUAUCAAGAGGAACACCAGUGGCGAAGGCGAGUCCCUGGACAACACCUGACACUGAGGCACGAAAGCUAGGGGAGCAAACAGG
rnacentral:rRNA from 1 species